rnacentral:rRNA from 1 species
AGUGAACGCUGGCGGCGUGCCUAAUACAUGCAAGUCGAACGGAGUGGCGCACGGGUGAGUAAUAUAUAGCUAAUCUGCCCCUUGCUGGAGGACAACAGUUAGAAAUGACUGCUAAUACUCCAUAGUAAUGGAUGAGACUAUAUCGUAUCAGCUAGUCGGUGGGGUAACGGCCUACCGAGUCUAUGACGCGUAACUGGUCUGAGAGGAUGAUCAGUGACAUUGGAACUGAGACACGGUCCAAGCUGUGACGGGAAGGAGCAGUAGGGAAUAGUUCGCAAUCGGGGAAACUGUGAAGCGGCAGCGGGGCGUGGAGGAUGACCCUUUUCGGAGCAUAAACUCCUGUUGUUAGGGAAGCGGUACCUAAAGAAUAAGCACCGGCUAACUCCGUGCCAGCAGCCGCGGUAAUAC